rnacentral:rRNA from 1 species
GAAUAUUGGACAAUGGGCGCAAGCCUGAUCCAGCCAUGCCGCGUGAGUGAAGAAGGCCUUCGGGUUGUAAAGCUCUUUUGUCCGGAAAGAAAAGCUUCGGGUUAAUACCCUGGAGUCCUGACGGUACCGGAGGAAUAAGCACCGGCUAACUUCGUGCCAGCAGCCGCGGUAAUACGAAGGGUGCAAGCGUUACUCGGAAUUACUGGGCGUAAAGCGUGCGUAGGUGGUUUGUUAAGUCUGAUGUGAAAGCCCUGGACUCAACCUGGGAAUGGCAUUGGAUACUGGCAGGCUAGAGUGCGGUAGAGGGUAGUGGAAUUCCCGGUGUAGCAGUGAAAUGCGUAGAGAUCGGGAGGAACAUCUGUGGCGAAGGCGACUACCUGGACCAGCACUGACACUGAGGCACGAAAGCGUGGGGAGCAAACAGG